GAAGAAUCAUUUCGUCAACCGGAGAAUUUUAUAUCCGUCAGUUUGUCAGUCAAUUGUCAAUAUCGAAAUCGAUGUUCCCGCACAUAGCAGGUUAGCCGAAAGUGGAGCUUAUUGCCAGUUGCAUUAAACGUCAGUUAACGCUACCGAACGCGGCAACUAAAUAGAACGUAACAU